rnacentral:rRNA from 1 species
AAUAGAUACCCUGGUAGUCCACGCCGUAAACUAUGAUUACUCGAUGUCGGCGAUAUACUGUCGGUGUCCAAGCGAAAGUGAUAAGUAAUCCACCUGGGGAGUACGAUCGCAAGGUUGAAACUCAAAGGAAUUGGACGGGGGCCCGCACAAGCGGUGGAGCAUGUGGUUUAAUUCGAUGAUACGCGAGGAACCUUACCUGGGCUUGAAUGCAUUAUGACCGUCCCGGAAACGGGACUUUCUUCGGACAGAAUGCAAGGUGCUGCAUGGUUGUCGUCAGCUCGUGCUGUGAGGUGUCGGGUUAAGUCCCAUAACGAGCGCAACCCCUAUUCUUAGUUGCCAGCGGGUAAUGCCGGGGACUCUAAGAAAACUGCCCACGUAAGCGGUGAGGAAGGUGGGGAUGACGUCAAAUCAUCACGGGCCCUUACGUCCAGGGCUACACACGUGCUACAAUGGUCAGUGCAAAGGGCAGCUACCUGGUGACAGGAUGCUAAUCUCGAAAAACCUGAUCUCAGUUCGGAUCGAAGUCUGCUAACC